ensembl:lncRNA
CUGCAGGAUUGCCUGUGUUUAGAUAUUUCUUUCAUUUGUCCUGAGUCGCUGAGAUCUUUUGUUUGUCAGGCCCAAACCUCAUGGUGUCCGCAGGCCGGACGCUGCUGCUGCCCUGCAGAGGCUCCGGUCAGGCCAAACAGAGGUGGUUUCACCGGAGGAAGGGCAAGAAGCGAGAGGCCAUCCUCACCCGCUUCAGAAACGGCACGGUGAGGGAGGAGAGGGAGGACGCAGACGGCAGGUUCCGGCUGGACCAGGACGCCCUGCAGAUCCUGGACCUGCAGCCAGAGGACGCUGGAGAGUACCUGUGCAACAGAGAGCUGGAGGCCAGAGUCAUCGUGCUGGAAGCACAGCCUGAGGAAACCAGCGUCCAACCUGCUACUUUCACAACUGCAACUCCUGCUGUCAUGACAACAGAUGUUGUUGAAACCACCAACAAGGAGAAGAGACCAGAGAACUCUCUGGUGCUGCUGGCCGUCGUCGGGUUGUGUGUCAUGAUCCUGCUCACAGCUCUGCUCUGUGUUUUGCUGACCAGCAUCAAAUGCAGAAGGAUGAGGAAAUACAGAAAAGCAGCGGCAGCAGCGGCGGCGGCGGCGGAGCGACCGGAUGACACCGAGCUGCAGCCGUGGAGUUUGUCCAGCCGACUGACAGACUCCGAGGUGUUUGAGAGUCCGUGCUCGGCGGUGGAGAGCAUCCACUACGCCUCGCUGGGCCGACACAACUGGAGGGAGCGACCCAGCAGGACGCCGCCGGAGCCGAGCCGCCACAACGUCAUCUACUCGUCCGUGAUCACCAGGCCUGCCGCCAAGUAGCCUGCGCUCGCCGCUCCGAGGCCGAACUCUGUUUUCCCGUCUUUUUCUGUUGCACCACUGAACUGAAAGCCAUGAUUUUGCACUUUGAACCGUAGGCCUACAUGUGGAGACUGUCCUUGUGUUAAAAAAAAAAAACGACCCCGUGGGUGGUUUGUACAGCAGCUUCUUACGACCCAUACUUACGUUUUAAAGUUAAGCGCCCUCUAGUGGUGCUGUAAAUAAUGACAGUGGUGCAGGAUAAAGGGAGCGACAAAGUCCGUUUCAUGAGGUUGGUGGGUUGGCAGAUGAGCCAAACAAAACUUUCGCCAGUGGUAACCUUAACCUUGACCUUAAACAAGUAUUUUUAGUGGCUAGCGAGCUAUCUCACUAGCGAGCAUUAGCAAAGCUUCACUAAUAAUCACAUGCAAACAAUAGGAAUACACUCAGUGUCACUUUAUCAGCUCCACCUGUCCAGUCUAAUGCAGUUCAAUGCAACAUAAAUUCUACCUUUUAACAAAGUUUAUAAUGUUCAGUUUAAUUCUGUGUUUAUUACUGAGGUUGUAGUUUGCAGAGGUCUGCUACUGGACUGCAUUAUACUGAGAGGUGUUUCCAGUUUUUUGUCCUCCCUAUUUAUAUACAAUGAGGGGGGACAGAAUAGUGGAAACAUCUGUUAGUAAAAUGCAGUCCAGUCCAACAGCAGCACUAACUAUGAGCUCAAUGCCAAACAUAGAAGUGAAUGAACACCUCUGUUACCGUGACAACAAGAAAACCUGAGCAUUAUAGGCAGCAGGAGAGGAAACUUUAUGGCACAACAGUUGGAUUGGAUUGGAUUAGAUUAUACAGGUGGAGCUGAUAAAGCGGCCACAGAGUGUAUCAUAUUAUUAGCAAGGCAUUUUGAUCGGCCUUUCUACGAAGCUGAACCACUUUAUUCACCAAAAAACAACAAAAAUAGAAGAAUUUGUGCAAACUGACACACGUGGGGACGGCAGACUCGACAUGUCACUCCACACAUUUACAGAUAAGCUCUUCAUCACGCUGUGCAUUCAGGCAGCAAUGUUACAAUAAUGUAAGAAAAUGUUCAUGUUGAAUGUACUUACUGAUUCUUAUUAUACUGUAUUUAUCUAUUUGCUUAAUAAAACUGAAGGCUUGUGCUGAUAUGCAAACAUUCAUAACUGUUAAGGCAAUGCAAUGAGAAACAAAAGCACCACACAGUUUCUGAAUGAACAAUUAAA